rnacentral:rRNA from 1 species
AUGGUGGUUAACUCCUGGCAUUUAUCUGAUGAGGCUGAUCAGAUUAGCUGGACUUUGGGUAAAAAAGGUAAGUUCUCGACCAAAUCGGUUUACACCUAUUUGGAAAGACCCCUGGCAGGAUGUGAUUACAGGUGGAUCUGGAAAGCUAAGAUUCCCCUCAAAAUCCAAGUAUUUCUUUGGCAAUUGUUCCAAGACGCGGUUUUGACACGAGAAGUCAUGAUGAGGCGUAAUUGGGUAGACAAUCCUAGAUGCUUGUUCUGCAAAGAUGUUGAAACUUCGCAACAUCUUUUCUUUACCUGCCCUGUUGCUCGGGUGGUCUGGAGGACGGUCGGGUGUGUGUUGGGCACAUCUCUCUGUCCGAACAACAUCUGGCAGUACUUCUCUUGGUGUUACAUAUUCCUUCCUGAUGGAGCUAAGUUUUACACGUUUGGUUUGGCAGCAAUCUGCUGGAACACCCGUAACCAGGCUGCUUUUGAACAAAAAAUUCUUAAGAUCCCAUUUAAUGUGGUGUAUGCUGCUUGUGGUUUUCUGACAUACUGGGAAGGUUUGAUGGCUGGUGAUGAUCGGGAGGCCAUAGAGCGUGGAGCCAAGAUGCUCAGGUCCAAUGCUUCGACGAUGAUGAGAAUCUGUGCGGCUCCAGCCAAGUCAGCGGCGAACUGA